UACGAAGGGGGCUAGCGUUACUCGGAUUGACUGGGCGUAAAGGGCGCGUAGGCGGAUGGUACAGUCAGACGUGAAAUUCCUGGGCUCAACCUGGGGGCUGCGUCUGAUACGUGCUGUCUGGAGUUCGGAAGAGGGUCGUGGAAUUCCCAGUGUAGAGGUGAAAUUCGUAGAUAUUGGGAAGAACACCGGUGGCGAAGGCGGCGACCUGGUCCGAUACUGACGCUGAGGCGCGAAAGCGUGGGGAGCAAACAGG
rnacentral:rRNA from 1 species